AGGAAAAAGGAAAGGAAAUCAAAAAAACGGUGUAGCAACAAGAGCACCAGCAGCAGAAAUGUUGUUGCUUCUCUGAUUCGAACAGACAGACUCGAGGGUUUUGUGAACAGACAUCGAAAGAGACUUAACACGAACAGGUACAGAGAAGAAGAGGAGGAAGAGAAGAAAUUCUAGAUUAAGGCGGUAAGGGUCUCUUUUUGGUGAAAGAUAAGUUUGUUUCAUCGAAUCUUUUGUGUGUGUAACAAAGUUAGGGUUUUUUUCAUCAUCAAUCGUGGAUGAACAACGAUUUCACUAGUUCAUUAUUGCCUAACUCUACUGUUGCUGGGGUUCUGAAUUGCCAUACAACAUAUCAAUUCGCCGACUUCCUUGAAAGUUUCAGG